rnacentral:rRNA from 1 species
AAAAACAUCGCCUCUUGUAAAUAUCAAAUAAGAGGCCCCGCCUGCCCUGUGACUAUAUGUUUAACGGCCGCGGUAUCUUGACCGUGCAAAGGUAGCGCAAUCAAUUGUCUUUUAAAUGGAGACCUGUAUGAAUGGCGUAACGAGGGCUUGACUGUCUCCUUUUCUCAGUCAAUGAAAUUGAUCUCCCCGUGCAGAAGCGGGGGUAAACACAUAAGACGAGAAGACCCUGUGGAGCUUUAGACGCUAGGGCAGACUAAUGUUAAAUUAUCCUCUCAAAGAAUAACACCUAAAACCCCUGCCCCCAUGUCUUUGGUUGGGGCGACCAUGGAGUAAAGAGCAACCUCCACGUGGAAUAAGAGUACUACUCCCUAAAACUAGGGCUACCACCCUAUUUGUCAGAAUUUCUGGCCUUAUAGAUCCGGCUUAAGCCGAUUAACGAAUUGAGUUACCCCAGGGAUAACAGCGCAAUCUCCUUUAAAAGACCAUAUCUAAAAGGGGGUUUACGACCUCGAUGUUGGAUCAGGACAUCCUAUUGGUGCAGCCGCUAUUAAGGGUUCGUUUGUUCAACGAUUAAAGUCCUACGUGAUCUG